GACGAACGCUGGCGGCGUGGAUUAGGCAUGCAAGUCGAACGGUAUCAUCCUUUCGGGGGUGAGAGAGUGGCGAACUGGUGAGUAACACGUAGGUUAUCUACCCUCAAGACGGGGACAACCCAGGGAAACUUGGGCUAAUACCGGAUGUGAGCAACUUUUAGUUGUUUGAAAGGUGGCGUAAGCUGUCGCUUGGGGAUGAGCCUGCGUCCUAUUAGUUAGUUGGUGAGGUAACGGCUCACCUAGGCAAUGAUAGGUAGGCGGCCUUAACGGGUGGUCGCCCACACUGGGAUUGAGAUACGGCCCAGACUCCUACGGGAGGCAGCAGUCGAGAAUAGUCUACAAUGGUCGGAAGACUGAUAGUGCGACGCCGCGUGAACGAUGAAUCCCUUCGGGGUGUAAAGUUCUUUUAUAUGUGAGCAGUGCUUCUUAUAUUAACAGUAUGGGAGAGAGAAUUAGCAUAUGAAUAAGCAAACGGCUAAACUCCGUGCCAGCAGCCGCGGUAAAAAUA
rnacentral:rRNA from 1 species